UGUGGGAGCUGCUUCAACAUGGCUUGGUGAGCAAUGAAUAGGUCCACGCCCAGGAUCUGAACUGGUGAACCCUGGGCUGCCAAAGUGGAACGUGCA